UGCUAUUAUAGCAAACCAAACAUAUCAGUAUAGCAUUUUUUUCAAUCUCAGCAACAAUUUAAGCAAAGUCCAAGUUAAUUAAAUGAACUACAUGGUCUAAACAAAACAUCUUCCCUUAAAUUACUAAAAGCUCUUUUCUUAAAAAAUAGAACACUCUUUAUUAGACAAAACUCUUCUCUGCCCUUCAGGAUCAAUUCAAUCCAGAGUUUUACUUGCAACCAAUUAAUUAUGUUUCUCAAUGUCCAAAAUAAAUAGCUGUUUAUUUUUCUUCAUGUAAAUUUUAAACAUUGAGACGUCACUUCUCCUCAACGAACUCUUCUGGAGUCCUUUUUUUUUUUUG
rnacentral:lncRNA from 1 species